AGGGAAAAGGGGAAAAUUGGGAUUUCAAGGCUUGAAAGAUAAAUAGGUAAGUCAAUUUAGCUAUUUUUACUUAAUUUUGAUGUUUUGGAAGCUUUGGGACAAGGUUUUGAUGAAAUUAAGUGAAUAUUUUGAAAGUUAUUAGAUUUCUAAAUAUUGUUCAUGUUGAAUAAAAAGAUGAAUUAGGGGUUAGAUUGAUAGGAAUUCAAGUUAGAAAUGAAAUAAGGAUUGAAUUGUAAAGCAAUUCAUAAGUUUUAUGUUGUAGGGACUAAAUUGAUGAAAUUUCGAAAUUAGGAAAAUAUGCUAGAAAUUUAAUAGUUAAGUAUGAUUAUGGUUAAAAAUUGAGUAGAAAUAAAGUAUUAAUUAAAAUAGAAAAGUAAGUGAAUUUAGUUAGGAUUAAAUUGAAAUUAAAAGUAGAAAAUCAACAUUUUGCACUAAGACUAUUUUGGACAGCAACAGUAGUCUAAGUUUGAAAAAUCACCAAAUAUUUUAGAAAUUGAAUUAGAGGAUGAAUAAAAUAUGGAAUUAAAACUUAUUGAGUCUAAUUUCUUAUAGAAGAAACAGUGUAAGCAAUUGAAUUGUAAAUUAUGAGAUAUAAUGAAUUUUGUGAGAUAAGGUCAGAAUGAAUUUGGGUUCCCCUUUUCUGACUUUGGAAAAUCACCAAAAAUUGGAUAAAAAUAAUUAGAGGCUUAAAGUUAUAUUUUUAGAAUCCCUAAUGAGUCUAUUUUUAGGAGAAAUCAACAGGAAUAUUAUCUGAGUUCUGUACUGUGAGAUAAUUAAUUUUUAGUGAAGAAGGGUCGAAACUGUCAGACAGCAGAAUAGGGGUGAAUUUAAAGAAUAAACUGUACUUAAUGGCUAAACCAAAAAUUCUGAAAAUUUUAUGGUAAGAAGAUUUGUGAGUCUAGUUUCAGAAAAAAUUAGCGAAUCUUAAUUUAGAAUUCUGUAACUCAAGAUAUAAAUUAGUAAUGUAUUAAUGAUUAUGAAUUGUAUUAAUUUCGUAGUCAAUGUGGUACCGGAAAUCUCGGCUAAGAAAGGACAAGAUAAAGUCAGCGGGAGUUAGCUCGAAAACUACGGUUUGUAUUUCUAUAAUCCGAACUUAAUAUUUAAUUAUUGAAUUUAUUAUUUAUUAUGUAUGGUAGGUGCAUUGAUUAGAUUAUUUAAAAUAAAAUGAAUACUGAUUGAAAUUGAAGGGUGAAUUUAAUUAAUAAUUGUUGUAUUUUAAUUGAAUGUUAUGGUAAAUAAUUAAAGUAUGAAUUAUUGGUAUUGUGUUUUUAUUGAAAUGAUUUGAUUUGAAAAUGUGGUGAAAUAAUUAUGAACAAGUGUUUAUUGUGGAAUUUAAUUAUAUGAAAAUAAAAAGUGAAUUGAAUUGUAUUAAAUUAUGAAUUAAUGUGAAUAAUUGAGAUAUAUAUAUUGAAUUGAAUGAAAAUGUAUGAGAUUGUGAAAAUGUGUGAAUAUAUGUAAUUAUUGGAAUGGUAUAUUAAGGAAAGAAUUAUUGAAUUGAGAAAGUGAAUUAUAAUUGAUACUGAACUAAUAUAGAAAUUAUACUGAAAAGUGAAAUAAAUACCCUACUAACUAGUCAGGCUAGUCAGAUAUAGUUGGCAUGCCAUAGGAUAUGGAAGAGUACGGGUUUUGCCGGCUUACUGAUCAGGCACUUAUGUGCCGACUACUGUUACUGUUACUAUUACUGUUACAGAUUCGACACUUUAGGUGCCGAAUACUGUUACCGUUACCGUUAUCGAUUCAGCACUUUGUGUGUUGAAUAUUGUUACUGUUACUGUUACUGUUCUAGAUUUGUUCCGAUGAGGUACUCUGUAUACCGUAUUGUUACUGUUACUGUUACGGUUUCGGCUUCAGCCGAUGAGGCACUAUGUGCCGUACUGAUUUGUUAGUUGGAUCCGUGUAUCCGUCUGAGUCCGAGUCAUGUUAAUAAGGGUAAAUAAAGGUAUAAAACAACUGAUUAUUACUGAAUAAUUGUCUGUUACCGAAUAAUUGACUGUUACUGGAUAACCGAUCAAUUGAUCGAUACUGAAUAACUGGUUAUUAUUGAAUAAUUGAUUGUUACCGAAUAAGUGGUUGUUACUAAAUAAAUAAUUGUUCUGAUUGUUAAUGAACAUUACUGAUUGAUUAAUUGCUAUUGAAAUUAAUAAAUGAUUUGAAAUUUAAAGUAGACCAAAAUAAUGGUUGGAAAGUGAAUGUUUGAAUGCUCAUUGAGUUUGAAUAGUUCAAUAUAUGUAAAUUAAUAAGUUUUAUAAUUGUUUAAGUGUUCAGAUUAUAGAAAUACCACUGAGUGUAUACUCAGCGUACGGUUUGUUUCCGUGCGCAGGUUAAGUUAAGGCUAGACUGUUGAAUCAGCAUCCCAGGCCGAUCCCGAAUUCAAUGGGGUAAAGUAUGUUGAGUAUUGAUAAUGACAUGUACCUAGGAUGUUUAAUGAGAGUCAUUUAGGUUGUAAAAGUAUUGAUGAAAUAAGUAAAUUAUGGUUGGUAACGG
rnacentral:lncRNA from 1 species